rnacentral:tRNA from 1 species
GCUUCCGUAGCUCAGUUGGUUAGAGCGUCGUACUAAUACUUCACACCGAGUAAUCAGUAAUGCGAAGGCCUCUGGUUCAAGCCCAGGCGGGAGCA